GCGACAAGAGAAUUUCAAAAUAUAUUCACGAACCAUCCUAGCUCACAUAAUAUACUUGAGGAGGUAAUUCACGAAUAAUAGGAGAAAAAUGGCUAUGAAGGAUCGGAUCAACAUAAUAGAAUCGGAAAUGUUUCGAAAAUAUAAAGUACAACAUAAUUGAUUUUCCGUUGAUUUUAUGAUGUUCACACAGCUUAAAGACAUCAUGCUCAUUAAUUUAUGGAAACAAAUGUAACAUGUUUCUCAAUACUCAUCCCGUGUUGUGAAAUCUUCUUUAACAGGUCUAUAGAAGAGACAUUACAGCAGAUAAACAUGCAUCAGCAAACGUUGGUGGACAAGCUAAACACUUGGAAAUCUUCAAU